rnacentral:rRNA from 1 species
AUUGAACGCUGGCGGCAUGCCCUACACAUGCAAGUCAAACGGUAACGGGCCUUCGGGUGCCGACGAGUGGCGAACGGGUGAGUAAUGCAUCGGAACGUACCUUUCAGAGGGGGAUAACGUAGCGAAAGUUACGCUAAUACCGCAUAUUCUGUGAGCAGGAAAGCAGGGGAUCGCAAGACCUUGCGCUGAUUGAGCGGCCGAUGUCAGAUUAGCUAGUUGGUGAGGUAAAGGCUCACCAAGGCGACGAUCUGUAGCGGGUCUGAGAGGAUGAUCCGCCACACUGGAACUGAGACACGGUCCAGACUCCUACGGGAGGCAGCAGUGGGGAAUUUUGGACAAUGGGGGCAACCCUGAUCCAGCCAUGCCGCGUGAGUGAAGAAGGCCUUCGGGUUGUAAAGCUCUUUCGGUCGGGAAGAAAUCGCAUGGGUUAAUACCCUGUGCGGAUGACGGUACCGGCAUAAGAAGCACCGGCUAACUACGUGCCAGCCGCCGCGGUAAAAC